AUCGCUUCUCGGCCUUUUGGCUAAGAUCAAGUGUAGAAAAUAUAAAUGCAUUCAAGCAUAUGGAAAUGAAAAAUAUUCUUUACAUUUAUCUUAUUUAUUGCGCACCUUCUUAUUUAUGAGUGUUCUAUAAUAGAAGUGUAGUAUUCACAGAACCACCUCCACAGGCUGGUUGCUGCUCUCCUUUUACCACGU